GGGAGGCGGAGUGACUUGCUUCGACUUUGUCAGCUUCCAGGGUUCAUUCCACUGCCCAAAUAUGUAGUGAGUUACUACCGGCUUUGCUUCCUCCUUCAGCAAACGGCUGGACCACACAACUUCAGGACAGAGGAUUUUAAGUGUUGGGGUCAUUUUCCCUGAAACGAUUUCAAAUGACGGCGAGUUGGUUCCCAGGCUAGGCCACCUAACCUCGAACGCAAUGACGAGUGCACUCUGACUGCUGAGCUGAGAGCCUUCCGUGGCUCUGGGACCCGGUGACUCACGUGGCUCCGCAUGUCCCGGUUCCCUUAAAAUCGGAGUCUUUCCUUUUCUUGGAUUCCGGCUUGCCACCAGCACCACUUGGCAGAACGGAAUUGCUUGCGGGCGUGUCAGUGGACUAGAAACGGAAGCAAGUGGUCUGAGAACUCGGGGGCCAAAAAUGUUACAUUAACAUUUUUUGCCUACCUAAAAUCUCAGCCACUUCCCACAAUUUGGCUGGAAAUUCAGCCCAUAUUGAGGCCUUUCUCACUCCUGCAGGUGUUACCAGCAACUCAGGGGUUUAUGGAGUAACGAAAUUGGGGAGGGCCUCACAUCCGGCUGCUGUUUUUUUCCCCCUAACGUGUAUGGUGCUUAUUCUGAGCCAGACACUUUUAAGAACUUCACAUUAUUAACCAAUUUAAAUCGUCCCCACCACCUGAUGAAAUAGGUACUGUUAUCCCCACUUUAUGGGUGGGGAAACUGAGGCCCAGGGAGGUCAAGUAACUGCUCAAAGCACAAAACUGUUGAGUAGUAGUGUUACUAGGGCAGUCCUGGAGAGAUCACUCAGAAGGCAAAACUGAGAGCUCAUUAUUUUCUUAAACAGUAGACAGCUGAAAACGUUCAUUGUUUCUUAAACCGUUUUAUUUGUUUGUUUUUUCCUAGUCUCUUUAUCUAUAGGUAACCUAGCUUAAAACAACUGCGGUUGGCCCUGGAGCUUCACUGCCCUUUGCCAAGUACCAGAGAAAGAUAAGACCUACUAGGAACCAGAGAAAACCAGAACCAGCCACCCCUUGUUACUUUUAGAUCAUUAAUACAUCAUUAUAUACUCAACUCCCGACCCAUAGAAGAGAAUCGCCGCCAUUUUCUGAUAGUGCAUUGUAUGAAGAGGCAUGUUUAUGAAAUGCACCUGUGCGUCUAGAGUUCCUCCCGGCAUAUGCUUGCAUACCUCCCCACUCUCAUCCUUUGUGAGGAUACAGUAAGGCACCAUCCUGGAAGCAGAAAACGUCUCUCAUCAGACACCAUUGUCAGUGCCUCCUUGAUCUUGGACUCCCCAGGCCCCGGAAAUUGCAGCAUCUCUCCUUCACUCUCCUCUGGUUGCUGUCCCCAAGUUGUCCCCAAGAGUGCUGCAGUUUUUCCAACGAAGAAACCUUUCGCUUUGUACAAGCAUUUGGGGAGGCGAAGGAGAGGAGGAGAUGGGAGGGAGGGGGAAGGAAGCAGAAUUUUUUUAAAAGCUAUGCAGCUCUAGAAACUGAAUCCUAUUGAUAUUUUUGAAGGGAGCGAGUUAAAUGUAUAAAUUGCUUUAAGGAGAAUUAACAGAUUUAUGAUAGUGAACUUUCCUACUUAAAAACAAUGUUUACCUUUCCAUUUUUUCAAGUCAUCUUGUAAAUCUCUCAGGAAUGUUUUCAACUUUCUUCAUAUGAAUUUUCUACAUUUUCCUAUUUAAUUUAUUUCUAAAUAUUUUAUAAUUAAAAUUAAGUUGUGGAAGUU